GUGGCUUUUACUGCUAAUUCCGGGUUGAAAAUAUAAAAGGGGGGAGAGAGAGAGAGAUAGAGAGAGAGAAAAAGACCCACUAUCAAAUCUACAGAAACUGUCUAGCAAAAACCCAACGUGAAGAAAAUCCAAACUAAGAAGAACAAACGAGGCACAAGAAAUAAGGAGGAACAAAUUCCACCAAACUCCAAAUUCACUGUAAACAAGUGAAAUCGAAAAGGAGAAGUGAUAUGAGAGAAGAUGCUAUCUUAUCCACUAACAGGAGC
rnacentral:misc_RNA from 1 species